rnacentral:rRNA from 1 species
AUUGAACGCUGGCGGCAUGCCUUACACAUGCAAGUCGAACGGUAACGGGUCCUUCGGGAUGCCGACGAGUGGCGAACGGGUGAGUAAUAUAUCGGAACGUGCCCAGUAGUGGGGGAUAACUGCUCGAAAGAGCAGCUAAUACCGCAUACGACCUGAGGGUGAAAGGGGGGGAUCGCAAGACCUCUCGCUAUUGGAGCGGCCGAUAUCAGAUUAGCUAGUUGGUGGGGUAAAGGCCUACCAAGGCAACGAUCUGUAGUUGGUCUGAGAGGACGACCAGCCACACUGGGACUGAGACACGGCCCAGACUCCUACGGGAGGCAGCAGUGGGGAAUUUUGGACAAUGGGCGCAAGCCUGAUCCAGCAAUGCCGCGUGCAGGAAGAAGGCCUUCGGGUUGUAAACUGCUUUUGUCAGGGAAGAAAUCUUCUGGGCUAAUACCCCGGGAGGAUGACGGUACCUGAAGAAUAAGCACCGGCUAACUACGUGCCAGCAGCCGCGGUAAUACGUAGGGUGCGAGCGUUAAUCGGAAUUACUGGGCGUAAAGCGUGCGCAGGCGGCUUUGCAAGACAGAUGUGAAAUCCCCGGGCUCAACCUGGGAACUGCAUUUGUGACUGCAAGGCUAGAGUACGGCAAAGGGGGAUGGAAUUCCGCGUGUAGCAGUGAAAUGCGUAGAUAUGCGGAGGAACACCAAUGGCGAAGGCAAUCCCCUGGGCCUGUACUGACGCUCAUGCACGAAAGCGUGGGGAGCAAACAGGAUUAGAUACCCUGGUAGUCCACGCCCUAAACGAUGUCAACUGGUUGUUGGACGGCUUGCUGUUCAGUAACGAAGCUAACGCGUGAAGUUGACCGCCUGGGGAGUACGGCCGCAAGGUUGAAACUCGAAGGAAUUGACGGGGACCCGCACAAGCGGUGGAUGAUGUGGUUUAAUUCGAUGCAACGCGAAAAACCUUACCUACCCUUGACAUGUCAAGAAUUCUGCAGAGAUGUGGAAGUGCUCGAAAGAGAACUUGAACACAGGUGCUGCAUGGCCGUCGUCAGCUCGUGCCGUGAGAUGUUGGGUUAAGUCCCGCAACGAGCGCAACCCUUGUCAUUAGUUGCUACGCAAGAGCACUCUAAUGAGACUGCCGGUGACAAACCGGAGGAAGGUGGGGAUGACGUCAGGUCCUCAUGGCCCUUAUGGGUAGGGCUACACACGUCAUACAAUGGCCGGUACAGAGGGCUGCCAACCCGCGAGGGGGAGCCAAUCCCAGAAAACCGGUCGUAGUCCGGAUCGUAGUCUGCAACUCGACUGCGUGAAGUCGGAAUCGCUAGUAAUCGCGGAUCAGCUUGCCGCGGUGAAUACAAUCCCGGGUCU